rnacentral:rRNA from 1 species
AUUGAACGCUGGCGGCAUGCCUUACACAUGCAAGUCGAACGGUAACAGGUCUUCGGAUGCUGACGAGUGGCGAACGGGUGAGUAAUACAUCGGAACGUGCCUAGUAGUGGGGGAUAACUACUCGAAAGAGUGGCUAAUACCGCAUGAGAUCUACGGAUGAAAGCAGGGGAUCGCAAGACCUUGUGCUACUAGAGCGGCCGAUGGCAGAUUAGGUAGUUGGUGGGAUAAAAGCUUACCAAGCCGACGAUCUGUAGCUGGUCUGAGAGGACGAUCAGCCACACUGGGACUGAGACACGGCCCAGACUCCUCCGGGAGGCAGCAGUGGGGAAUUUUGGACAAUUGGCGCAAGCCUGAUCCAGCAAUGCCGCGUGCAGGAUGAAGGCCUUCGGGUUGUAAACUGCUUUUGUACGGAACGAAAAGCCCUGGGUUAAUACCCUGGGGUCAUGACGGUACCGUAAGAAUAAGCACCGGCUAACUACGUGCCAGCCGCCGCCGUAAUAC